GUUAAGCGACUAAGCGUACACGGUGGAUGCCCUGGCAGUCAGAGGCGAUGAAGGACGUGCUAAUCUGCGAAAAGCGUCGGUAAGGUGAUAUGAACCGUUACAGCCGGCGAUGUCCGAAUGGGGAAACCCAGUGCAAUUCGUUGCACUAUCGUUAACUGAAUACAUAGGUUAACGAGGCGAACCGGGGGAACUGAAACAUCUAAGUACCCCGAGGAAAAGAAAUCAACCGAGAUUCCCCCAGUAGCGGCGAGCGAACGGGGAGCAGCCCAGAGUCUGAAUCAGCUUGUGUGUUAGUGGAACGGUCUGGAAAGUCCGACGGUACAGGGUGAUAGUCCCGUACACCAAAAUGCACAGGUUGUGAACUCGAAGAGUAGGGCGGGACACGUGGUAUCCUGUCUGAAUAUGGGGGGACCAUCCUCCAAGGCUAAAUACUCCUAUUUGACCGAUAGUGAACCAGUACCGUGAGGGAAAGGCGAAAAGAACCCCUGUGAGGGGAGUGAAAUAGAACCUGAAACCGUAUACGUACAAGCAGUGGGAGCCUUUAGGGGUGACUGCGUACCUUUUGUAUAAUGGGUCAGCGACUUAUAUUUAGUAGCAAGGUUAACCAUGUAGGGGAGCCGUAGCGAAAGCGAGUGUUAACUGCGCGUCUAGUUGCUAGGUAUAGACCCGAAACCCGGUGAUCUAGCCAUGGGCAGGUUGAAGGUUGAGUAACAUCAACUGGAGGACCGAACCCACUAACUUUGAAAAGUUAGGGGAUGACUUGUGGCUGGGGGUGAAAGGCCAAUCAAACCGGGAGAUAGCUGGUUCUCCCCGAAAUCUAUUUAGGUAGAGCCUCGGACGAAUUCCAUUGGGGGUAGAGCACUGUUAAGGCUAGGGGGUCAUCCCGACUUACCAACCCGAUGCAAACUACGAAUACCGAAGAAUGUUAUCACGGGAGACACACGGCGGGUGCUAACGUCCGUCGUGAAGAGGGAAACAACCCAGACCGCCAGCUAAGGUCCCAAAGUCACAGUUAAGUGGGAAACGAUGUGGGAAGGCCCAGACAGCUAGGAGGUUGGCUUAGAAGCAGCCACCCUUUAAAGAAAGCGUAAUAGCUCACUAGUCGAGUCGGCCUGCGCGGAAGAUGUAACGGGGCUAAACUGUGCACCGAAGCUGCGGCAGCGACACUAUGUGUUGUUGGGUAGGGGAGCGUUCUGUAAGCCGCUGAAGCUGGACUGUGAAGUCUGGUGGAGGUAUCAGAAGUGCGAAUGCUGACAUAAGUAACGAUAAUGCGGGUGAAAAGCCCGCACGCCGGAAGACCAAGGGUUCCUGUCCAACGUUAAUCGGGGCAGGGUGAGUCGACCCCUAAGGCGAGGCCGAAAGGCGUAGUCGAUGGGAAACAGGUUAAUAUUCCUGUACCCGUGAGAAGUGACGGCCUCUGGAAGUAGUUUUUCCUUAUUGGAUUGGAGAAGCUGCCAAGGAGGUCCAGGAAAUAACUCUCACAUAUGGACCGUACCCCAAACCGACACAGGUGGUCAGGUAGAGAAUACCAAGGCGCUUGAGAGAACUCGGGUGAAGGAACUAGGCAAAAUGGUGCCGUAACUUCGGGAGAAGGCACGCUGAUAUGUAGGUGAAGCCCCUGCGGGUGGAGCUGAAAUCAGUCGAAGAUACCAGCUGGCUGCAACUGUUUAUUAAAAACACAGCACUCUGCAAACUCGAAAGAGGACGUAUAGGGUGUGACACCUGCCCGGUGCCGGAAGGUUAAUUGAUGGGGUUAGCGUAAGCGAAGCUCUUGAUCGAAGCCCCGGUAAACGGCGGCCGUAACAAUAACGGUCCUAAGGUAGCGAAAUUCCUUGUCGGGUAAGUUCCGACCUGCACGAAUGGUGUAACCAUGGCCACGCUGUCUCUACCCGAGACUCAGUGAAAUUGAAAUCGCAGUGAAGAUGCUGUGUACCCGCACCUAGACGGAAAGACCCCGUGAACCUUUACUACAGCUUGGCACUGAACAUUGAACCUACUUGUGUAGGAUAGGUGGGAGGCUUCGAAGCAGAGACGCUAGUUUCUGUGGAGCCGUCCUUGAAAUACCACCCUGGUAUGUUUGAUGUUCUAACGUAGGUCCCUAAUCGGGAUUGCGGACAGUGUCUGGUGGGUAGUUUGACUGGGGCGGUCUCCUCCCAAAGAGUAACGGAGGAGCACGAAGGUUAGCUAAUCACGGUCGGACAUCGUGAGGUUAGUGCAAUGGCAUAAGCUAGCUUAACUGCGAGACAGACACGUCGAGCAGGUACGAAAGUAGGUCAUAGUGAUCCGGUGGUUCUGUAUGGAAGGGCCAUCGCUCAACGGAUAAAAGGUACUCCGGGGAUAACAGGCUGAUACCGCCCAAGAGUUCAUAUCGACGGCGGUGUUUGGCACCUCGAUGUCGGCUCAUCACAUCCUGGGGCUGAAGUAGGUCCCAAGGGUAUGGCUGUUCGCCAUUUAAAGUGGUACGCGAGCUGGGUUUAGAACGUCGUGAGACAGUUCGGUCCCUAUCUGCCGUGGGCGCAAGAGACUUGAGAGGAGCUGCCCCUAGUACGAGAGGACCGGGGUGGACGGACCUCUGGUGGACCUGUUGUGGCGCCAGCCGCAUUGCAGGGUAGCUAUGUCCGGACGGGAUAACCGCUGAAAGCAUCUAAGCGGGAAGCCCCCCUCAAGAUUAGGUCUCUCUGAGAGCCGUGGAAGACCACCACGUUGAUAGGUCAGGUGUGGAAGUGUGGUAACACAUGAAGCUAACUGAUACUAAUUGCUCGAGG
rnacentral:rRNA from 1 species